rnacentral:rRNA from 1 species
ACGAACGCUGGCGGCGUGCCUAACACAUGCAAGUCGAGGGUUUUAGUAGCAAUACAAAGAACACUGGCGCACGGGUGAGUAACGCGUAGAUCAUCUGCCCCUAACACUGACAUAACAGUUCUAACGGACUGCUAAUAUCAGAUGUGAUGAGCAAUCAUUAAAGGGCAACCGGUUAGGGAUGAGUCUGCGUCUGAUUAGGUAGUUGGUGAGGUAACGGCUCACCAAGCCUACGAUCAGUAACUGGUCUGAGAGGACGAACAGUCACACUGGAACUGAGACACGGUCCAGACUCCUACGGGAGGCAGCAGUGAGGAAUAUUGCACAAUGGGAGAAAUCCUGAUGCAGCGACGCCGCGUGUGGGAAGAAGGAGCUUAGCUUCGUAAACCACUGUCGGAGGGGACGAAUGACAGGUUAGACCUGUUGAGACGGUACCCUCAAAGGAAGGAUCGGCUAACUACGU